rnacentral:rRNA from 1 species
UACAGAGGGUGCGAGCGUUAAUCGGAAUUACUGGGCGUAAAGCGUGCGCAGGCGGUUUUGUAAGUCUGACGUGAAAUCCCCGGGCUCAACCUGGGAACUGCAUUUGUGACUGCAUCGCUGGAGUGCGGCAGAGGGGGAUGGAAUUCCACGUGUAGCAGUGAAAUGCGUAGAGAUGUGGAGGAACACCGAUGGCGAAGGCAGCCCCCUGGGCUAACACUGACGCUCAGGCACGAAAGCGUGGGGAGCAAACAGG